rnacentral:lncRNA from 1 species
GCUUGCUGGAGGCCGCUUUGGCUCCUUCCAGCCAGGCUGAGCCUUUCCGGGAGGGUGAUCGCAAAGAGGCCUGGGCUGAUGGCAGGCAAGAAACCCUGUCAAGUUCAUGGACUCCUAUUUCCUAGGUCAAGGGCGAGGGGCCCCUGGUGUGGCUUAGGCUGGGCCACUUGGAUCUGGAUCUACCUGGGCAAGUCUGAUGGACGGUGAGGAGGAUGGGCCAGAAGCUGGGUGCAGUGGCUACCCAGGGCAUGUAAAGGGCACCGGGGUGUACCGCUCAGACCCCCUUCCAGGAAGGGCUCAGGCCCCGGCCACAAUGAGCAUGGCGGGGUGAUGGGUCCUUCAGGAUAGACCUCAGCUUUCAAACCUGGCCCUACUCUGCUUAGGACUGCCGAGGCCAACAUGUGGUCCAGGGGCCCAGCGCUUCUGUCCAGCGCGGGACCCUUCUGCUAGUCGUCUGUGCUCCAGAACCCCAGCGAGCAGCUCCUGGUGUCACGGCUUCCUGGCCUUUUUGUUUCAACGGGCCCACCUUCGUCUUCCAUCCAAACGUUAGGGAAAUCUUACAGACGGCCCCUUUCCGGUUUUGCCCUGAGUGGGUGUUCGUCCGCUCCAGGCUGGGCGAAUCCCCACGGAGCUUCAUUUUCUCCAUCUCCUCUAAUUCCCAGCUGAGGGGGGGCUGGCACCAGACGCAGACUAUGUGGCUUCCCGACACACCAAAGGCAGGAGCCGGGCUUGUUGGGUAACCGGACCGGUCACGGCUGCUGGAGCUUUCCAUGGGCGCUCCCCCAGGAGCCGAGUCAGCCGGCUGCUGCCAGGAACCUCCACACCCCGUGCUUUGGGGGUCGGGAGAGGCACACGCAUGCACGCACACGCCAGCACUGUCCCCCCAGA